rnacentral:rRNA from 1 species
UACGUAGGGGCUAGCGUUGUCCGGAAUCAUUGGGCGUAAAGAGCGCGUAGGCGGUCCGGUAAGUCAGCUGUGAAAGUCAAGGGCUCAACCCUUGAAAGCCGGUUGAUACUGUCGGGCUAGAGUCCGGAAGAGGCGAGUGGAAUUCCCGGUGUAGCGGUGAAAUGCGCAGAUAUCGGGAGGAACACCAAUGGCGAAGGCAGCUCGCUGGACGGUACUGACGCUGAGCGCGAAAGCGUGGGAGCAAACAGG